rnacentral:lncRNA from 1 species
CCACAAUCAAGGGGAGGGUAGAUAUGUUCUACCUCUUGACAUGUAGUAUGAACAUAAAGCACAGUUGAUUCCUGAGCUGUGAUGACUUUCCACUGACCAUACUACUGCAAUGAUGUUAUUCUGGGCCAAACUUCGGAAUCAAUUCUUGUCUGCUGCCUGAUUCAAUUAUUUUUAAUGCACCCUGUGGAUUUUUACUUGCUAAAGUAGAAAGAAGAUCCCAACAUUUGAUGAGAAAAUAUACAGAAGGGAGGCUGAUCCCGGGUGCACUGUGGCAGGUGGCAGUAUAGAUUUUUGUGAAGCAGCAGUGUGCUGUGAUAUGAGUAGCAGAUGAAGAAGGAAGGAAAUGAAGUCACUCAAUUCUUAUAUGGCAUAAUUACUCUUAUAUUUGGAAUCAACAUGUGGAAUUUCUAGAUAGAUGGAGUCUCAAUAUGUUUCCCAGGCUGGUCUGGAACUCCUGGCUUCAAACAAUCUUCCUGCCUCAACCUCCCAAAAUGCUGGAAUAACAGGAGUUGAGCCAUCAUUCCUAGACUCAGAUGUUUCAAAUCUACUAAUUUAUGGAUGUUACUGAUACCACCUUAGCCCAGAUAUUUCCAAUUGCAGGUGUUUUUAUUUGCCUGAAGUCAUUUACUAGCACUGCAGUUAAAGUAAACUUUUUAAAACACAAAAUACAUUGUGCCACAUGCCAACUGAAAAUAUACAUGCAUACCUCAGUUUUUGGGCCUCACUUUAUUGCACUUUACAGAUGUUGUAUUUUUUUUUUGCAAAUUGAAAGUUUUUGGCAAUCCUGCAUUGAAUAAAUCUAUCAGAGCCAUUUUUCCAACAACAUAUGCUCACUUCAUGUCUUUGUGUCACAUUUUGGUAAUUCUUACAAUAUUUUAAACUUUAUCAUUAUUAUUAAAUUUAUUAUGGUGAUCUGUGAUCAGUGAUCUUUGAUGUUAACACUGUAAUUGUUUGGGGGCACCAGGAACUCUGUGUAUAUAUAAUGGCAAACUUAAUCGACACAUGUUGUGUAUGUUCUGACUGUUCCACCAACCAGACU